rnacentral:rRNA from 1 species
UACGUAGGUGGCAAGCGUUGUCCGGAAUUACUGGGCGUAAAGGGCGUGUAGGCGGCCUUUUAAGUCAGACGUGAAAACCCUGGGCUUAACCCAGGAACUGCGUUUGAAACUGGAAGGCUUGAGGACCGGAGAGGGUAGUGGAAUUCCCAGUGUAGCGGUGAAAUGCGUAGAUAUUGGGAGGAACACCAGUGGCGAAGGCGACUGCCGGGACGGCACCUGACGCUGAGGCGCGAAAGCUAGGGGAGCAAACGGG